rnacentral:rRNA from 1 species
AAGGGCGCAUGGCGGAUGCCUUGGCUCUCGGAGGCGAUGAAGGACGUGAUAAGCUGCGAUAAGCUUUGGGGAGGUGCAAAUGACCUUUGAUCCAGAGAUUUCCGAAUGGGACAACCCAAUAUCUUGAAGAGGUAUUAUCCAACGUUGUUGGAGGCUAACGCAGGGAACUGAAACAUCUUAGUACCUGCAGGAAAAGAAAAUAAACAAUGAUUCCCCCAGUAGUGGCGAGCGAACGGGGAACAGCCCAAACCAUCCAUGUUACGGCAUGGGUGGGGUUGUAGGACUACGCCGUUGCAUGAAGACAUCAGAGAAGAACUUUCUGGAAAGAAAGACCAUAGAGCAUGACAGUUGCGUAUUCGAAUGUUGUCGAAGCAUAGUAGUAUCCUGAGUAGCGCGGAGCACGAGGAAUUCUGCGUGAAUCUGCCGGGACCAUCCGGUAAGGCUAAAUACUCCCGAGAGACCGAUAGCGAACCAGUACCGUGAGGGAAAGGUGAAAAGAACCCCGAGCAGGGGAGUGAAAUAGACCCUGAACCCGUCUGCCUACAAGCGGUCGGAGCGUCGUAAUGACGUGACGGCGUGCCUUUUGCAUAAUGAACCUACGAGUUACCUUCCCCGGCAAGGUUAAGUUCUUGAGGAACGGAGCCGAAGCGAAAGCGAGUCUGAACAGGGCGCCAAGUCGGGGGGGGUAGACGCGAAACCGAGUGAUCUACCCUUGGCCAGGUUGAAGGUUGGGUAACACCAACUGGAGGACCGGAUGGGUAAGCGUUGAAAAGCUUUCCAAUGAGCUGAGGGUAGGGGUGAAAGGCUAAUCAAACUCGGAGAUAGCUCGUACUCCCCGAAAUGCAUUUAGGUGCAGCCUCUUUAUAGUAUAUCGUGAGGUAGAGCGACUGAUUGGAUGCGAGGGCUUCACCGCCUAUCAAGUCCAGAUAAACUCCGAAUGCGCGAUAUAUAUUUACAGGGAGUGAGGGCGCGGGUGCUAAGGUCCGUGUCCGAGAGGAGAAGAAUCCAGACCACCGGCUAAGGCCCCCAAAUGAUCGUUAAGUUGAACUAACGAGGUCGGAUCGCAGAGACAGCUAGGAUGUUGGCUUGGAAGCAGCCAUUCAUUUAAAGAGUGCGUAACAGCUCACUAGUCGAGCGAUCUGGCGUGGAUAAUAAUCGGGCAUAAACGAUCUGCCGAAGCCGUGGAUGUCGCAAGACAUGGUAGGGGAGCAUUCCAUGCGGCGUCGAAGAUGAGGGAUGACCCUUGUUGGAGCGCAUGGAAAAGCAAAUGUAGGUAUGAGUAACGAUAAGGGGGGCGAGAAACCCCCCCGCCGAAAGACCAAGGUUUCCUGAUCAACGCUAAUCGGAUCAGGGUGAGUCGGGACCUAAGGCAAAGCCGAACGGCGCCGCCGAUGGAAGAAUGGGUUAAUAUUCCCAUACUGCCUCAUGGAGUGACGUGGAGACGGAGAAGUGACAGUCCUGCCGGCUGACGGAAUAGCCGGUUGAAGGGUGUAGGUGUCGAUCGCGGUAGGCAAAUCCGCCGCGAGAGCCGAACCUGACAGUAUACGGAGCGCUUGCGCGACGUAAUAUGGACGUAACCAUGCUCCCAAGAAAAUCCGCUAAACUUAUCCAUGCGGCACCCGUACCGUAAACGGACACACGUGGUCGGGUUGAGAAUACUGAGGCGCUCGAGUGAUUCACGGUUAAGGAACUAGGCAAAUUGACCCUGUAACUUCGGGAUAAAGGGUCCUCGUCGUAAGGCGAGGCGCAGAGAAUAGGUCCAGGCAACUGUUUAACAAAAACACAUGGCUGUGCUAAAUGGAAACAUGAUGUAUACAGCCUGACACCUGCCCGGUGCCGGAAGGUUAAGAGGAGAUGUCAUCCGCGAGGAGAAGCGUUGAAUUGAAGCCCCGGUAAACGGCGGCCGUAACUAUAACGGUCCUAAGGUAGCGAAAUUCCUUGUCGGGU